GCUCUAGUAACGGCGAGUGAAGCAGCAAUAGCUCAAAUUUGAAAUCUGGCGUCUUCGACGUCCGAGUUGUAAUUUGUAGAGGAUGCUUCUGAGUAACCACCGACCUAAGUUCCUUGGAACAGGACGUCAUAGAGGGUGAGAAUCCCGUAUGCGGUCGGAAAGGUGCUCUAUACGUAGCUCCUUCGACGAGUCGAGUUGUUUGGGAAUGCAGCUCUAAAUGGGAGGUAAAUUUCUUCUAAAGCUAAAUAUUGGCCAGAGACCGAUAGCGCACAAGUAGAGUGAUCGAAAGAUGAAAAGCACUUUGGAAAGAGAGUUAAAAAGCACGUGAAAUUGUUAAAAGGGAAGGGAUUGCAACCAGACUUGCUCGCGGUGUUCCGCCGGUCUUCUGACCGGUCUACUCGCCGCGUUGCAGGCCAGCAUCGUCUGGUGCCGCUGGAUAAGACUUGAGGAAUGUAGCUCCCUCGGGAGUGUUAUAGCCUCUUGUGAUGCAGCGAGCGCCGGGCGAGGUCCGCGCUUCGGCUAGGAUGCUGGCGUA
rnacentral:rRNA from 1 species